UUAAGUUAUUAAGGGCGCACGGUGGAUGCCUUGGCACUAGAAGCCGAUGAAGGACGUUACUAACGACGAUAUGCUUUGGGGAGCUGUAAGUAAGCUUUGAUCCAGAGAUUUCCGAAUGGGGAAACCCAGCAUGAGUUAUGUCAUGUUAUCGAUAUGUGAAUACAUAGCAUAUCAGAAGGCACACCCGGAGAACUGAAACAUCUUAGUACCCGGAGGAAGAGAAAGAAAAUUCGAUUCCCUUAGUAGCGGCGAGCGAAACGGGAAGAGCCCAAACCAACAAGCUUGCUUGUUGGGGUUGUAGGACACUCUAUACGGAGUUACAAAGGACGACAUUAGACGAAUCAUCUGGAAAGAUGAAUCAAAGAAGGUAAUAAUCCUGUAGUCGAAAAUGUUGUCUCUCUUGAGUGGAUCCUGAGUACGACGGAGCACGUGAAAUUCCGUCGGAAUCUGGGAGGACCAUCUCCUAAGGCUAAAUACUCUCUAGUGACCGAUAGUGAACCAGUACCGUGAGGGAAAGGUGAAAAGCACCCCGGAAGGGGAGUGAAAUAGAACCUGAAACCGUGUGCUUACAAGUAGUCAGAGCCCGUUAAUGGGUGAUGGCGUGCCUUUUGUAGAAUGAACCGGCGAGUUACGAUUUGAUGCAAGGUUAAGCAGUAAAUGUGGAGCCGUAGCGAAAGCGAGUCUGAAUAGGGCGUUUAGUAUUUGGUCGUAGACCCGAAACCAGGUGAUCUACCCUUGGUCAGGUUGAAGUUCAGGUAACACUGAAUGGAGGACCGAACCGACUUACGUUGAAAAGUGAGCGGAUGAACUGAGGGUAGCGGAGAAAUUCCAAUCGAACCUGGAGAUAGCUGGUUCUCUCCGAAAUAGCUUUAGGGCUAGCCUCAAGUGAUGAUUAUUGGAGGUAGAGCACUGUUUGGACGAGGGGCCCCUCUCGGGUUACCGAAUUCAGACAAACUCCGAAUGCCAAUUAAUUUAACUUGGGAGUCAGAACAUGGGUGAUAAGGUCCGUGUUCGAAAGGGAAACAGCCCAGACCACCAGCUAAGGUCCCAAAAUAUAUGUUAAGUGGAAAAGGAUGUGGCGUUGCCCAGACAACUAGGAUGUUGGCUUAGAAGCAGCCAUCAUUUAAAGAGUGCGUAAUAGCUCACUAGUCGAGUGACACUGCGCCGAAAAUGUACCGGGGCUAAACAUAUUACCGAAGCUGUGGAUUGUCCUUUGGACAAUGGUAGGAGAGCGUUCUAAGGGCGUUGAAGCAUGAUCGUAAGGACAUGUGGAGCGCUUAGAAGUGAGAAUGCCGGUGUGAGUAGCGAAAGACGGGUGAGAAUCCCGUCCACCGAUUGACUAAGGUUUCCAGAGGAAGGCUCGUCCGCUCUGGGUUAGUCGGGUCCUAAGCUGAGGCCGACAGGCGUAGGCGAUGGAUAACAGGUUGAUAUUCCUGUACCACCUAUAAUCGUUUUAAUCGAUGGGGGGACGCAGUAGGAUAGGCGAAGCGUGCGAUUGGAUUGCACGUCUAAGCAGUAAGGCUGAGUAUUAGGCAAAUCCGGUACUCGUUAAGGCUGAGCUGUGAUGGGGAGAAGACAUUGAGUCUUCGAGUCGUUGAUUUCACACUGCCGAGAAAAGCCUCUAGAUAGAAAAUAGGUGCCCGUACCGCAAACCGACACAGGUAGUCAAGAUGAGAAUUCUAAGGUGAGCGAGCGAACUCUCGUUAAGGAACUCGGCAAAAUGACCCCGUAACUUCGGGAGAAGGGGUGCUCUUUAGGGUUAACGCCCAGAAGAGCCGCAGUGAAUAGGCCCAAGCGACUGUUUAUCAAAAACACAGGUCUCUGCUAAACCGUAAGGUGAUGUAUAGGGGCUGACGCCUGCCCGGUGCUGGAAGGUUAAGAGGAGUGGUUAGCUUCUGCGAAGCUACGAAUCGAAGCCCCAGUAAACGGCGGCCGUAACUAUAACGGUCCUAAGGUAGCGAAAUUCCUUGUCGGGUAAGUUCCGACCCGCACGAAAGGCGUAACGAUUUGGGCACUGUCUCAACGAGAGACUCGGUGAAAUCAUAGUACCUGUGAAGAUGCAGGUUACCCGCGACAGGACGGAAAGACCCCGUGGAGCUUUACUGUAGCCUGAUAUUGAAAUUCGGCACAGCUUGUACAGGAUAGGUAGGAGCCUUUGAAACGUGAGCGCUAGCUUACGUGGAGGCGCUGGUGGGAUACUACCCUAGCUGUGUUGGCUUUCUAACCCGCACCACUUAUCGUGGUGGGAGACAGUGUCAGGCGGGCAGUUUGACUGGGGCGGUCGCCUCCUAAAAGGUAACGGAGGCGCUCAAAGGUUCCCUCAGAAUGGUUGGAAAUCAUUCAUAGAGUGUAAAGGCAUAAGGGAGCUUGACUGCGAGACCUACAAGUCGAGCAGGGUCGAAAGACGGACUUAGUGAUCCGGUGGUUCCGCAUGGAAGGGCC
rnacentral:rRNA from 1 species